UACGGAGGGGGCUAGCGUUGUCCGGAAUUAUUGGGCGUAAAGAGCUCGUAGGCGGUCUGUCGCGUCUGCUGUGAAAUCCCGGGGCUCAACUCCGGGCUUGCAGUGGAUACGGGCAGACUAGAGUUCGGUAGGGGAGACUGGAAUUCCUGGUGUAGCGGUGAAAUGCGCAGAUAUCAGGAGGAACACCGGUGGCGAAGGCGGGUCUCUGGGCCGAUACUGACGCUGAGGAGCGAAAGCGUGGGGAGCGAACAGG
rnacentral:rRNA from 1 species